rnacentral:rRNA from 1 species
UACUAGAGUAGCACUCGCAUAUCAAUAAGCGGAGGAAAAGAAACUAACAAGGAUUCCCCUAGUAACGGCGAGUGAAGCGGGAGGAGCUCAAAUUUGAAAUCUUAAAGGGUUUCCCUUUACGAAUUGUAGUUUAAAGAAGUGUUUUCUGUUGAGGUUUUGGUAAAAGUUCUUUGGAAUAGGACAUCAUAGAGGGUGAGAAUCCCGUAUUUGACCUUUACUUUCAACUUUGUGAUACACUUUCAAAGAGUCGGAUUGUUUGGGAAUGCAGUCCAAAAUGGGUGGUAAAUUUCAUCUAAAGCUAAAUAUUGGCGAGAGACCGAUAGCGAACAAGUACCGUGAGGGAAAGAUGAAAAGAACUUUGAAAAGAGAGUUAAACAGUACGUGAAAUUGUCAAAAGGGAAGCGUUUGACACCAGUGUUGUUUUUCUGAAAAUCAAUUAAAGAACUGUUUAUGCUAAGCUGUUUAGACUUUAUCAGCUAUCUGUUUAGUUUUAGGCUUUUCUUUAAUGCACUUUUCAGUUAACAAGUCAACAUCAAUUUCUUUUGCUGUAAAAAAGCUUGAGGAAGGUGGCUUGAGAUUCGUCUUAAGUGUUUAUAGCCUCUUGCCUAUGCAGUCGGAGAGAUUGAGGUCUGCAGCGUAGAUCCUUCGGGGCUAAAUGCAUUUGUGCUAAGUUAUAGCAUUUUAUAGACAACUUGUUGACUAUGAUUUGUCUUGUAGCUUACUCGCUUAUGUUAUUUUACCUACGCUUAGGAUGUUGAUCUACAGAGCGAGAGU